rfam:Schistosoma haematobium scaffold172_15, whole genome shotgun sequence.
AUCCAGCUGACGUGUCCCAUAUAGGAUGAAACGCUCAUUCUGGAU